rnacentral:rRNA from 1 species
UACAGAGGGGGCAAGCGUUGUUCGGAAUUACUGGGCGUAAAGGGCGCGUAGGCGGCCUUCUAAGUCGAACGUGAAAUCCCCGAGCUCAACUCGGGAACUGCGUCCGAUACUGGCGGGCUUGAAUCCGGGAGAGGGAUGCGGAAUUCCAGGUGUAGCGGUGAAAUGCGUAGAUAUCUGGAGGAACACCGGUGGCGAAGGCGGCAUCCUGGACCGGCAUUGACGCUGAGGCGCGAAAGCUAGGGGAGCAAACGGG